rnacentral:pre_miRNA from 8 species
UGUAUCUGGAGCGGUGCUUUCCAGGACUGUCCAACUUGAGAAUGGUGACUUUAGACUCAAUCUCAGGUUCGUCAGCCCAUGAAACACUGUCUCACAUUGGCCC